rnacentral:rRNA from 1 species
UUUUCGUCAAAGGGCGCAAGCCUGAACGAGCGAUGCCGCGUGAGUGAAGAAGGCCUUCGGGUCGUAAAGCUCCGUUGCGGGGGAAAAAAGGCAGCAUCAGGAAAUGGGUGCUGACUGAUGGUGCCCCGCCAGAAAGUCACGGCUAACUACGUGCCAGCAGCCGCGGUAAUACGUAGGUGGCAAGCGUUAUCCGGAAUUAUUGGGCGUAAAGAGCGCGCAGGUGGUUAAUUAAGUCUGAUGUGAAAGCCCACGGCUUAACCGUGGAGGGUCAUUGGAAACUGGUUGACUUGAGUGCAGAAGAGGGAAGUGGAAUUCCAUGUGUAGCGGUGAAAUGCGUAGAGAUAUGGAGGAACACCAGUGGCGAAGGCGGCUUCCUGGUCUGCAACUGACACUGAGGCGCGAAAGCGUGGGGAGCAAA